UUUGCCGAAUGGGCUUGGUGGCUUGUGUUCGGGGAGUGGCUUCUCUCCCUGGAGAAGGUUACGAGUUUUGUCAGAUGGCUUGUGUUCUGGUGGUGGCUUCUCUCCCUGGGGUGGUUUGCCGAAUGGGCUUGGUGGCUUGUGUUCGGGGAGUGGCUUCUCUCCCUGGAGAAGGUUACGAGUUUUGUCAGAUGGCUUUUGUUCUGGUGGCGGCUUCUCUCCCUGGGGUGGUUUGCCAAAUGGGCUUGGUGGCUUGUGUUCGGGAACUGGCUUCUCUCCCUUGGGAGGUUCAGUUGGUGGCUGCUGUUCCGUAGGUGGUUUCUUCACCGGCGGCUUGUGCUCCGGAAGCGGCUUCUCUACCUGGAGAAGCUUACGAGUUUUGUCCGAUGGCUUGUGUUGUGGUGGUGGCUUCUCUCCCUGGGGUGGUUUGCCAAAUGGAGUUGGUGGCUUGUGUUCGGGGAGUGGCUUCUCUCCAUUGGGAGGUUUAGUUGGUGAUUGGUGUUCCGUAGGUGGUUUCUGAAGUGGGGGAUGCUUGGGGUAGUCAGCAAGAGACGAGGUAGUGAGAACCACCAGUCCCAGCAGCAACACUAGCAAGCAUGUGGAAGACAUCUUUGAGUUCAGGCUGAGAUCUGUGCAAGGAUAACAGAAUUAGGUGGCCUUUUAUAGAGGCCUGGACCCAACACCCAUAUGACACGUGUCAUGCACUCAUGGUGACACAUAAUUCUAUGGGACCAUUUGGGUCCUACAGAAGUUGCAAAGUUGGACUACUGAGGUGUGAUCACAACUUUUGUCCUUAUUGCUUUCUCUGCGGCCAUUGCACGAUUUCCUUUAGCAUCAUUUUCUUGGCUAAAUAAGCGUAUUAUAUUUGUGGCAGACCGUCCACGUGUCAUAAACAGAUAUAUUAUAAUAAUGUAGUAUGCUUUUCUCCAAUGGAACAUGACACUCUUCUAAGUCUUGUUUUAAAUAUUGUGCAGGAUUACUUUAUACGUUGCAGUUCCAAGUCAAAAUUGGUGGGCAAACGUUGGCCUUUUUUCAUUUCACCUAAGAUUAAUGCUCACCUGGGAUAGGCACUACAUGACUUAUCUGCUCUUUUACUGUAAAGUUGCUUUGUGUAUGAGAUACACCUCCCCUGCACACCCUCAACAUUCGUUGCUCUGUUUUCCUUGUGUCCAGACGAGGAUAUUAAUUGGAGGCUGACAAAACGACUGCUAGCCCAGGAUUUACAAGGUCCUGGUUUGAGGCUUCGGUGAAAGUAUUUUUGAAAAGACACACAUAGAGAUAGUGCGUUUGGUGCAAUGCAGCACUGUGAGCCAUUCUGACGCGUUCUUAAUUUCAAAACUAAUGAAUGCUUCAAAAUUUUAAGAAGUGACAUUUCCAAAUAUUUGAGUUCGUUUAAUUGAACAUUGGAUAACUAGUGAUCAUAGAUUAUUAUCUGUGCUUGGCACUAUAAGAGGGUAUAUGCUUCUUUUUCUGGCCCCUCCUUCAAGGGAGGAGGGACAAUGUGAUCUGUAACGUUAGAAGCUAUUCCAUGUCAUCUUUGGGCUCAGUUCAAAACUAAAAGAUAAUGGGGGGGGGGGGGGGGGGCAUAUCAUUUUAUAUUUCUUCUAGAAGGUUUGUUCUGGAAAUAUUUCACAGGAGCAUAUCUUUUUCUUCUAUUACGUCAUCCGCAGCCUCCAAUAGGUCGGUUAACAAGCCACCGAGUUGAAAAGUUGGAAAAAUGGGAACACAGCCCGCCUCUUGUAUUCAGUAGUUAAAUAAAAGGUCACUAGAAGUGAGAUCCCUUUUGGCGUCUUGAUUUUCAAUCCAGCACCUCUGUGACCUGACAAACCAAAAAAACUAAAAAAUAAAAAACAGUACGUGGGUUGGUGUUAAGCAUCAAGACAUGUUAAUGAAAGAAGGUAGAGAAUAGGAUAUUGAAAUCCCAAUCCUGAUAACAUGAUUUUCUUUGCUAACAACCAUAUUAUAUUUUAUCAAGAAAGAGUAAUGCAUGUGGCGUCCAUCAAGACCCAUUAGAGUUCCGCUAAAGCUAUAGUUCUGUCAACGUUAUCAUUUACGUUUCCUCUAGAUAAUGGCAUUUUCCUCUAAAGCUCUUGCACCAUUAGGCUUCAAGUCAAAAUUUCACAUGUGAACUUUGGAAAUUUUCUCCAUUUGCCCCUAAGGAUACAGUUAGAAUUGACUUAAAAUCCUGAUUGAUAUGUACUAUUAACCAAAGAAUAUUGUAUAUAAUAAUUGAAAUAUUGUUGAUUCAUCGUGGAAAUACAUUUUGUAAGGAAAGUUGUUGAGAAUUUAGUAUGCUAUAUGGAGAAAAAAGUCAUGACUUAAGGUUGUGUAUGUAUAUUCUAUAUCAAAUAUUAGGUAGGAAUGUGGGAAAGAGCAGAGUGUAAUGAUAAGAAACAAAGAAAUAUAAGAUAUUCUUGAAAGUGGAAAAUAUAAAAUGGCUAACGAGUCAAAUUUAUGAUGCGUAAGGGGGAUCAUGUCACAUAAGAAAACCAUGGCAUACUAAAGACGUACGUGUGGUAUGGAGUAAUAAUUUUGUUAAAAUAAGUUUCUUGUUGGAGUACAUUAGGUGACUAUUCAUAACGUAUCAAAUUAAAGAGUCAAGUGCAUCAAUGAAGGCAUAUGUAGAAAAUUUGUUUGUGACAUGUACCAUAAAGAUAAGAUUGACUUGAUAGAAUUUAGUCUAAGUAGGAGUUGUUAAAGGUGUCUUAAAUUUCUAAUUGAUGUAUAUUUUUUUCUAAAAAAAUAUUAUAUAGAUAUUUUAAUAAAUGAUUAAUUCUUUGUAAAAAUACUUACAUAAUAAAAAACAUCAUUAAAAAUAUCUUUAUAAAUAUUUUAAGUUACAAGAAGGAAAAAAACCACUGUGAGAUAAUGAUGAACAUGCAACACUGUACCAAGUAAAUAAAAAUGUGAUAAAAAAAAAAGAGAAACACUCGAUAAAGGAAGGCUCGUAUAUAAAGAGUAAUAUUUUUAAUCAUAUGAUAGAAUGAUUUUCUCUCAUUCAUGAAUAUAGGCAAGAUUGGGGAACCAUUAUAAAAUUUUGUACACCUCGUGUAAAUUGAUGUUUGUCUUCAUAUUUUACACCAACAAAUGACAUUGAAGUUGUCAUUGAUAAAAGGGAAAAGGCAUGCCUCCACACCAUGUGCUUGAUUCGAAUGGUUCAAGUUUGAAGAAUUUUCUCCGGAAGAUCUAAAACAUUUUCGCCUUUAAAUUUCAUUUGAUUAUUAAUAUCCGAAAAAAUAGUUAAAUACUCUUUCUAUUUUUGAGUUGUUGAAUUUUUUGAAAGUUUUUAUAUUUGUUAUCAAGAAUUUCUAUUUUAUUAAGGGUGAAUAUUUAUAAAUAAGAUAUUAUAUAAUAUUUGGAUAAGAGAGAAUGGUGGAAUAUAAUAAAGUUUUAAUCCUUCCCAAUUUUGAACCUUUUUUUUUUUUUUUGAUAUAAUCGCCUUUCUCUUGCAAUCCUAUUAUCAGGUACCUUAUAUUUGCUGAUGCUAUCUGGAACUAAAUUCCAAUCAGGCAUUGUCCAAUUACUAAUAGGACAGAUCAUAUCUCUCUGUUUCUAAACUAACAUGUAUCGUAAUGUGACCUCAUAAGGAAGGCUAGGAAGAUGGAGGAUUUUGUGGGAAGCGACCAGAAUCAGAUGGAAGAGAGAUAGCCCUGUUGACCUAAUGGCUGUAAUAGGAGAAGCGUGUGGUUUUAUGGGACUUAACUGAUACUAAACCUGUAUGAUGCUUGGAGUGGUGUUUCUUUCAUUUUGUUAAGAAAAUAUGGCAGCAUACAUGCUUUCAACUGAGUGCAUCAGAGCAUCCAUAACAGAUGGUCUGCAACCCUAGGUGCAUGCCACUUUCUGACUGAUAAUGAAAUUGUCAGGUACCUGGCCUUGACUAAGCUCAACAGCAUCACAUAAAGAGAAGCUUUCAUACUUAGAUUACUGUUUAAAGUUUUUGCUUAUUUGAUUUCUUAAUGCCAUUAUGACAUUAUUGAUUCAAUUCUGCUUCCGAUUUUCGAAGUUCUGGGCAUCUACUGAUUGCAUCAUUAUAUGAGAAGUUGCAUGAGUUUAUGUAUCCUGUUAUUGUUCCUUUGCGAUUUCACUGCUCACGGGACUAACCUCUCCAUUCAGUCGAAAUGAAUUGUAAUUUCUUUACUGGUAGCAGUAGUACUUUUCAUAGCAAAGAUAAUAGAAAAUAUGAAAUAUAAAUAGAAGGAAAUCUGGAUUGUAGAUAGCACCAUAAGUAACACUCAAUAUUCACUACAUAAUAAAUAGACAGUGUUACAUAGGUAGAGAAACCUACAAUGAGUACUCAUCACCAUUCUCAAACAGAAACAUAGCAGCGACUUAUACAUAGAACCUAUAGGCUCGCAGGGAAAGAGUAACAUGAUAAGUUCACAGCGGGUAGCAGCUCUUAUUUUACGUAUUACUCAAAAUCUCAAACUAACCAAAGUCACUCAGUUGGGAUGGGUAGGAGAUGGUGGUUUGUGGGGUGGCUUCUGGGUAGGAGCUGGUGGCUUCUUUGUUGGAGUUGAAGGAGGCAUAUUCUUCUGAGGUGGCUUGUAUGACUCUUCGGCACUCUCUGCAGGAGGGUGCCCAGGGUUGUGACCAGAAGGAGGUGGCUUCUGUCCCUUUGGUGGUUUGCCUAAUGGGCUUGGUGGCUUGUGCUCCGGGAGUUGUUUCUCUCCCUCGAGUAGGUUUCGAGUUUUGUCAGAUGGCUUGUGUUCUGGUGGUGGCUUCUCUCCCUGGGGUGGUUUGCCGAAUGGGCUUGGUGGCUUGUGUUCGGGGAGUGGCUUCUCUCCCUGGAGAAGGUUACGAGUUUUGUCAGAUGGCUUUUGUUCUGGUGGCGGCUUCUCUCCCUGGGGUGGUUUGCCAAAUGGGCUUGGUGGCUUGUGUUCGGGAACUGGCUUCUCUCCCUUGGGAGGUUCAUUUGGUGGCUGGUGUUCCGUAGGUGGUUCCUUCACCGGCGGCUUGUGCUCCGGAAGCGGCUUCUCUACCUGGAGAAGCUUACGAGUUUUGUCAGAUGGCUUGUGUUGUGGUGGUGGCUUCUCUCCCGGGGGUGGUUUGCCAAAUGGACUUGGUGGCUUGUGUUCGGGGAGUGGCUUCUCUCCAUGGGGAGGUUUAGUUGGUGGUUGGUGUUGCGUAGGUGGUUUCUGAAGUGGGGGAUGCUUGGGGUAGUCAGCAAUAGACGAGGUAGUGAGAACCACCAGUCCCAACAGCAACACUAGCAAGGAUGUUGAAGACAUCUUUGAGUUCAGGCUGAGAUCUGUGCAAGGAUAAAAGAUUUAGGUGGCCUUUUAUAGAGGGCUGGACCCAACACCCAUAUGACACGUGUCAUGCACUCAUGGUGACACAUAAUUCUAUGGGACCAUUUGGGUCCUACAGAAGUUGCAAAGUUGGACUAUUGAGGUGUGAUCACAACUUUUGUCCUACUUGCUUUCUCUGCGGCCAUUGCACGAUUUCCUUUAGCAUCAUUUUCUUGUCUAAAUAAGCGUAUUAUAUUUGUGGCAGACCGUCCACGUGUCAUAAACAGAUAUAUUAUAAUAAUGUAGUAUGCUUUUCUUCAACGGAACUUGACACUCUUCUAAGUCUUGUUUUAAAUACUGUGCAGGAUUACGUCAUAAGUUGCUUGUUCCAAGUCAAAAUUGGUGGGCAAACGUUGGCCUUUUUUCAUUUUCCCUAAUAUUAAUGCUCACCUGGGAUAGGCACUACAUGAUUUAUCUGCUCUUUUACUGUGAAGUUGCUUUGUGCAUGAGUUACACCUCCCCUGCACACCCUCAACAUUUGUUGCUCUGUUUUUCUUGUGUCCAGACGAGGAUAUUAAUUGGAGGCUGACAAAACGACUGCUAGCCAAGGAUUUACAAGGUCCUGGUUUGAGGCUUUCACGAAAGUAUUUUUGAAAAGAUACACAUAGAGAUUGCGCGUUCGGUGCAAUGCAACAAUGUGAGCCAUUCUGAAGUCUUAAAUUUCAGAUUAAUGAAUGCUACAAAAUUCUAAGAAGGGCCGUUUCCAAAUAUUUGAGUUCAUUCAUCCGAACAUCGGGUAUAUGCUUCUUUCUCUAGCCCCUCCUUGAAGGGAGGAGGGACAAUGUGAUCUGUAUCGUUAGAAGCUAUUCCAUGUCGUCAUCUUUGGGCUCAGUUCAAUACUAAAAGAUAUGGGCGGGGCCCUUAUCAUUUUAUAUUUCUUCUAGAAGGUUUAUUCUGGAAAUCUUUCACAGAAACAUAUCUUUUUCUUCUCUACGUGAUCCGUGGUUUGAAAGUUGGAAAAAUGGGUCCGUUAACAAGCCACCGAGUUGAAAAGUUGGAAAAAUGGCAACACCGCCAACCUCUUGUAUUCGAUAGUUAAAUAAAAGGUCACUGGAAGUGAGAUCCCUUUUGGCCUCUUGAUUUUCAUUCCAGCAUCUCUAUGGCCUGAUAAAUUAAAAAACUAAAAAAAAAGACAGUACGUGGGUUGGUGUUAAGCAUCAAGAGUCAAGACAUGAUAAUGGAGAGAAAGGAUAUUCAAAUUCCAGUUCUGACAACAUGAUUUUCUUUGCUGAACUACCAUAUUAUAUUUGAUCAAGAAAGAGUAGUGCAUGUGGCCAGGAUCAAGACAUACAUUAAUUUCCACAUGAUGAAGACAGUUUCUGAGAGUUUCUUCUAAAGCUCUUGCGCGAGUAGGCUUCAAGUCAAAAUCUCCCAUGUAAACACUGGUUUUUCUUUCAUUGCCACUAAGGAUGCAGUUAAUAUUGACUUAAGAUCCUACGUGAUAUAUUUUUUUAAAAGAGCUAUAUUGUAGAUAAUAUUUGAAAUAAUGUUGAUUCGUUGUGGAAAUAUAUUUGUAAGGAAAGUUGUUGACAAUUUAAUAUAGUAUAAGAAGAAAAAAGUUAUCAACUAGCUAGAGAUGAGUAUGUAAAGUGAGGCUCACGAUUCAACGCGUAAAUAUAAGAUAUUUUAAGGCUCAAUAGUUAUGAUAUCUAUUUUAUUUUUUGUAUCUCAUAUAUUCAAAGAUAUAGUAAAAUGAUUUUACAUAUAUAUAUAUAUAUAUAUAUGAACAUAACUAUUUGUGCCAAUUGAUUUUUAUCUUUAUUUUGUAUAUUAGUAAUUAUAUUAAAGUUUUUACUAAUAUAAUAACUAAUAUAAAAGCUUUUUCUAAAAGAGUCAACAGAGCAAAACACUUAUUAUAAAAAAUAAUUUUGAUUGAAGGUGGAGUCAAUUAUUCUUUAUUUAACAUGUAAUGCAUACGGCGUGUACUUCAUAACUAAAGUAUAUAAGUGUAACAUCUCUUAUAUAUUCUCAUUCAAUCUCGAAAGUGGAAAUUUUAAAAAGAUUAAACGGUUCAAAUUUGUCGUGCAUAAAGGGGAUCAUGUCACAUAAGCAAACCAUGGCAUACCAAAGACAUAGGUAUGGACUAAGAAUUUUUUUCAAAUAAGUUUCUUAUUAGGGUACAUUAAUAGGUGACUUUUUAUGACAUAUCAAAGGAGUCAAGUGCACCAAUAAAAACAUAUAUAGAAAAUUCAUGCAUGACAUGUAUCACUAAGAGAAGAUUGACUUGAUAGAGUUUAAUCCAAAUAGGAGAUUGUUAAAAGGUGUCUCAAAUUCUUGAUUGAUAUAUAUUUUUUUUAUUAAAAAGGUUAUUAUAUAGAUAUUUCAAUAGACUAUUAAUUCUUUGUAAAAAUAGUUAUAUAAUGAGGAUGGUGAUUAAAAAUAUCUCUAUCAAUAUUUUGGAUUAUAAAAAGAAAAAAAAUGAGAUAAUGAUAAACAUAUAAAACUUGUACAAGUAGAUAAAGAUGUGAUGAAAGACACUUGAUGAAUGAAGGCUUUGUAUUUCAAGAUAUAAAUAUAUGGAGCAAAACUCUUAAUUAUAUGAUCAAAUGAUUCUCUCAUAUUCAUGAAUAUAAGCAGGAUUGGGGAACCAUGAUAGAAUCUUAUAUGCCUCUCCAUGUAGAGUGAUCGAUGUUUAUCUUCAUAUUUUACACCAGUGAAUGACAUUGAAACUCUUAUUGAUAAAAGGGAAAAGGCAUGGCCUCCACCCCAAGAAAAACAAGUAACCUCGGUUUAAAUCACUAGUCUACACCCCGAAGAGAGAACUAGCCAAACCUACUAAAAGAGAAACUUAACAAUUUAGAAAGAAACCGUCCAUGAUAAAGGGCCCCUAAAGGUCCAAUUCAGUGAGGUCGUGAACAAAAACACUUUCAUGUCAAAACAGAGAUAGGUACCACCAAAAUGUAAAGGGAAAGAUGUAAACCACGUCGAACUUUGGUAAUCAAUGGUAAAGAUAGCAUGAUAGCUAAAAGCACUAAAGCUGUGCUUGGUAUGCAAAAAUGAAAAGUGGAAAUCAGCGUCUUAUUCUUUUUCACCUUUAUUCACAUAUUAGGAUAACUAAUAUCUAAUGUUUUUUAUGUCUCAAAUUCUAUUCCAUGUUAUGGUAAACUUUCAUCUUGUUUAGAUCACUUUUGUCUGGUUUGGGCUCAAGACGAUAAGCCUAUAGAGACUUCAUAUUGGGUUGAAUCGAUGCCCUUGAUCUGAUCUGUUCGUUAGAAAAAUCUGAAUUAUUAUAAGCAUUUAGAUAAAAAAUAAAUAAAUGUGAAACACAAACUACUCCCUGCACAACCUUGACCCUAGUUACUCAGUUUCACUGCUCACAGGACUAACCUCUCCAUUCAGUCGAAAUGAAUUGUAACAAGAAGAUUUUUGACAGGAGGACGGUAGUUUAAAAUAAUAAUUUCUAAAGUACUUUUGUGAAAAAAAAUAAUUCCAAACGUGGAUUUUAUCAAGUAAAAAGAAAAAAAAAAGUUAUUUUCUUUUAAAAUCUGUUCUUCUAAAGAUGAUAUAUAUACCAAAAAAAAAAAUUGUUUUCUGAAGGUAAAAUUUUUAAAAUUCAUUUUUAAAAAAAUUUACACACUAAAAUUAUCUUUUCAAGAGAAGAUUUUUUUAAUUUUAAAUAAUUAUUAAUUUAUAAUUAAUUUGUUAUUAAUUAUUUAUUAAUUUUUUUAUUUGAAAAAUGCAUUUAUAAAAAACAAAUUUGUUAUUAAUUUAUUAAAUAAUUUUUACAAAAUAAAUAAUUUUUUUUUAUUUUAAUUUUAAAAUUAAUUUUAUUAUAUAAAUUUUAAAAUUAAAAAUAUUAAUAUUUAAUUUAAAAUUUAACUAUAAAAGGAAUAAAAUAUAGAAAAAUAAAUUAAUUUAUUAUUCAAUAAAUUAAUUUUCAAUAAAAUUUUCAGCAUUAAGAGAUAAAUUUUUAAGUAUUAAUCAAUUUAAAAAGAAAUAAUGAUCAUUUGUAUAUUAAGAUAUUUUAUUUAGUAAUUAUGAAUGAUAAACAACUAAAGUAAUUUGAAAAAAUAAUAAAAUAUUUAAAAAAUAAUAAUUUAAUACACGUAAAAUUAGAAAUGAUUAACUAUUUUUUAUUAAGAAAAAAUUGAGGAAAUAUUUUGUUAUUUAAAAUUUUUUAUUUGUUUUCAAUUUUUAAUGUUAUAGGUUUCAAGAAAAUUGAUCAAAUAAAAAUUAAGAAGUCAUUUUUUCAAAAACUAUAUAUCUAAAUAAAAGCCUUGAAAUUCAAAUACACAAUAUCAUAAAUAUAAACACCAAGUCAAUCCUUAAUUAUCAAAUGUUUUUAAUAUUAAAGAAUCAAAAUCACCUACUAUCAUGAUAAUAAGAAAACCAAUAAUAUUGUUCAUAUAAAUACUAAAAAGCUAACAAAUAUCCCAAACAAUUAAUAAAGUAUCAAACAUGAUAAAAAGUCAAUUAUUAUCAUGAAUGCAAAAAAUCAAUAAUUUUGUUUAUAUGAACCAUCAACAAAGAAAAAAAAAAUCAAUAUCUAAAUAUUAAACAUAAUUUAUAUUUUUAUAAAUAUUAUUGUUGAUAAAUAUCUUAACAAUUAUAAUUUUAGUAAAUAAAAUUAAUUAAUUUUAGUUUAAGAAUUAUUUUUUUAUACUUUCGUAUUCUUAUCAAAAAUCCCCAUUUUGCAUGUCUCCUUUGGCAUGACUUUCUUACCUAAACAAGCAUAUAUAUAUAUAUAUAUAUAUAAAAUAUUUGGUUAAGAAAGAGUACUAAAGUUUAUAUGGCACACAUCAAGAUAGAAACAGAAGUGGAAGAUAAUCCAAAUGUAUGAACAGAUAUAUUAUAUCCAUGUAGUGGUAGUGACUUCAUUAUUUACUUUUAUCUAAUGGAGCAUGACACACUUCUUCUGAAUAUUUUGCACGAUUAUGUUAUGUGUCAGCUUGUUCUAAGUCAAAACUAGUGAUAAAAAUCGGUUUUUUUUGCAUUUCCUUCAUGAAGAUGGCACCUGGAUGGGGCACUACAUGAGUGGCAUAGCACGAAGUGAUUUAUCUGCUCCCUUUACUAUAAAGUGCUUUGUGUAUAAGUUACACCUCCCCUGCACUGCCUCAACAUUUGUUGUUCUGUCUUCCGUCUGUCCAAACGAGGACAAACGUAUGUUGUAGGUUGACAAAACCACAGCUAGCCUAGGAUUUGCAAGGAUCUAGUUUGAUUCGUAUGCAAAAGGAUUGGUGAAAAGAUUCACAAAGAUAAUGCUUUUUGCAAUGCAAUCUUGUUCUAAUUCAACAGUGUGGACCAUUUUCAUGUAAUGCUUCAACUAGAUGUCAGUUUCAUGAAUUUUUGUUCAUCUAAUUGAUCACUGGAUAGGCCAUAACCCGAAGAAAUUCAAAAUUCCCUUCAGUACUGUAGCUAAGGAAAGAUCCCUAUCUACCACUGGGAUUUUAAGAGGGUAAAAAUGUAGGUGGGUGCCUAUAUCAUUUGCACUUCACUAUAGGCCUCUUUGGGAAGAUUUCUUCUGAAGACAUUUCAAAGAAACAUAUUUUUCUCUUCUCUCCGUAAACGGCAGCUGCAAGUCAGUCCAUUCACAGGCCACCGAGUUGAAAAGGCUGGAAAAUUGGCCAAAGCACCCGCCUCCUGGAUUCCAUGGGUAAGGAAAAGGUCACUGGAGGUGUGAUCCCUGUUGGCCUCUUGAUUUCCAUUCCGCCAUCUAUAUGACCUGAUAACCCAAAAACACAGAAGGAAAACGUCACCUGGGUUCAUAGUAAGCAUCAAGUCAUGAUAGAGACCAGACAACAUGACCAACAAAGAGUAGCGAAUGGGGCCAACAUCAAGCCCCAUUACGGUUAGAAGAUGGAAGAAGUAGAAGACAAUCCAAUUCUGAUAGAUUCGGGCAAAUGUAGUGCUGUUCAAACUUAAUCAUUUACUAUUUCUUCAUGAAUCACGGCAUUUUUCUUCUGAAAAUUUUCCAAGAUUAGGCCUCUGAAGAAAAAUUUCAUAUGUAAAUUGGUAUAUUAAGGAAAAGGCGUUACAAAGGUGAAAAAAAACCAAUCAAAUCUUAUAUAUGACAUCUCAAAAAUAUGAACUUGCUAUAAAUAUUUAAAAUCAAAAUCUUGCACAUCACCUCGUAGUACGAACUUGCUAUAAAACUUGAAAAUCAAGAAGAAAGGGGCAGUAUUGGACGAGACUACUUAGCACAUAUUAUUAUGAUGUUUUUUCAUUUUCUUAAUGUUGUUUUUAUGUCUUAAAUUCUAUUAUUCUAUGUUACGGUAAACAUUCAUCUUGUUUGUGUGGAAUAGGAUCACUUUUCUCUGGGUUGAGUCGAUGCCCUUAGUUAAUUUGUUCAUUUGAAUAAACUAAAUUAUUAUAAGUAUUUAGAUAAGAAAAACGUGAUACAUAAAUUACGCCUCUCGGCACAACUUCAACACUGGUUACUCUGUUUCAGUUUCCUCACACAAGAUUAUUGGUUCUAGGGUUUAUUUGGUUUUGGUUUGAUUCUAAUUGCUAAACUUUCUCAAGGAAGAUGUUAUAUAGGGAGUGAGAAACCUUCACUCUUGGCUACCUCCAAGAGAAGAGCAAGUGGUCUGAAUCAAAGAUAUACUGCUCACUUUUUCUUCUUCUAAGGACAGCUAUGACCUUGCUUUAAGGUUCGAAUAGCCUAAUGCAACCUCCCAUUUCUCAAGUCAGCUGAUGAUGUAAGUCACCUUGGCUUUCCACAUUCAUACGGUGAGGACGUUUGUGGGUGUAAUUCUCUUAACAGUUUUCAUUUUAUAUGGAAAAAUUCAUAAUUAAGGGUAAUUACUGAUUCCAUUUGACAGUGACCAAGUUUAAAAUAUUAAUUCAUAUAUUAAAUGCACAUUAAAAAAUCAUGGAAUAAAUAUAUUUACUAAUAUAUAGUUCUUUUGCCAUGUUCUGUCACAGAAGCAUCGAACUUUCCCUAGAAAUUUUUGCAUGGUAUUCUACUUAUGAUUUUGAAAACUCUAGGCACCUGAGGCCACUAAUUGCAUGGUUGGAUGAGGAGCUGCAUGAGAUUAUGUAUCGUGUUGUUCCUUAACUACAAAUAUCAGUUUUAAGUAGCAUCUCCAUGUGACAUUUUCCUGAUGCAAUUUCGCUGUCCACCAACAAAUUUCACCAUGCAGCAAGAUGAAUUGUAAUUUCUUUAUUGUUAUCAACAGCUUUAAUUAAUCUUGAUAUAUAUAUAUAACUUAGUAGAAGUAUAUUAAUCUAGAUUGUAGUUGCACUAAGAUAAUAGGCAAUAUUAUAACAGUGCCACAAUGCUCAUCGCCAAAUAGAAAGGUAGAAAAACUACAAUGAGUAACUCACAACAUUCUCAAACAGGACAUAGCGGCGACUGAUACAUAGAACACUAUUGGCACUCAGGAAAUGAUAAGAUCAGUGCCCAGCAGGCAGCACGUCUUAUUUUACAUACUACUUAAAACUAACCAAAGUCAUUCAGUUGGGAUGGGUGGGAGAUGGUGGUUUGUGCGGUGGCUUUUGGGUAGUUGGUGGCUUCUUUCCUGGAACUGAUGGUUUUUUUGUUGGAGUUGAAGGAGGCUUAAUCGUCUGAGGUGGCUUGUAUGAGUCUUCAGCACUCUCUGCGGGAGGGUGCCCAGGGUUGUGACCAUAAUGGGGUGGCUUCUCUCCCUUAGUUGGUUUGCCAAGUGGGCUGGCUGGCUUGUGCUCCGGGAGCGGCUUCUCUCCCUUAGGUGGUUUGCCAAAUGGGCUUGCUGGCUUGUGCUCUGGGAGCGGCUUCUCUCCCUCAAGAAGUUUACGGGUUUUGUCAGAUGGCUUGUGUUCUGGUGGUGGCUUCUCUCCUUGGGGUGGUUUGCCAAAUGGACUUGGUGGCUUGUGUUCGGGGAGUGGCUCCUCUCCCUUGGGAGGUUUAGUUGGUGGCUGGUGUUCCAUAGGUGGUUUCUCAACCGGGGGCUUGUUCUCCGUUGGUGGUUUAUGAACUGGGGGAUGCUUGGGGUAGUCAGCAAGAGACGGGGUGGUGAGAACCACCAGUCCCAGCAGCAACACUAGCAAGUAUGUGGAAGAGUACAUCUUUGAGUUCAGGCUGAGAUUUGUGCGAGACUUGAAGAAUUAGGUGGCCUUUUAUAGCUGGCUGCACCCAACACUCACAUGACACGUAUCAUGGUGACACAUGUGCUAUGGGUCCAUUUGGGUCCUACAGAAGCUGAAAACUUUUGACUAUUGAGGUGUGGUCACAACUUUUGUCCCUAUUGCUUUCUCCGCAACCGUUUUACAUGUUUCCUUUGGCAUAAUUUUCUAAGCUAAACAAGCAUAUAUCAUAUUUGGUUAAGAAAGAGUAAAGUGUAUAUGGCACACAUCAAGGAAGAGAAACAGAAAAAGUGGGAGACAAUCAAUUGUGAUAAACAGAUAUAUUAUAUUCAUGUAGUACUAGUGACUUUAUCAUUUACUUUUAUCCAAUAGAUCAUCACUCUUUCUUCUAAAUAUUUUGGAGGAUAAUGGUACAUGUUGCUUGUUUCCAAGUCAAAAUUGGUGGCAAAAAUCGGCAUGAUACGAAAGGAUUGGUGAAAAGAUUCACAUAGAUGGUGCUUUGUGCAAUGCAGUCUUGCUCUAAUUCAACAGAGUGGACCAUGGUGAUGUAUUUUAAAUUUUAAAUUUUAAAUUAAUGCAUGCUUCAAAGUUUUAACUAGAUGUCACUUCCAUGGAUUUUUGUUCAUUUAAUUGAGCACAGGAUAGGCUAUCAAACUUGAAGUAAUAUAAAAAUCCCUUCAUUACUGUAACUAAUGAAAGAUCAUUAUCUGCGCUUGGUAUUUUGCCAAGGUAUUUGCUGCUCUUUCUAGCCCUGUCUUACAGUUAAGGACAAUGUGAUCUAGUUAACCUUAGAAGCUAUUCCAUGUCAGAUACAAGAGAUCAAGCACAUUAUCUUUGGGCUCAGUUCAAAACUAUAAUAUAUGGGUGGGGUGGAGGCCCAUAUCAUUUGCAUAUCACCACUAUUGGUUUAGUUUGGAAGGUUUCUUCUGGAAGAUUGCUGCUUUCUGGAAUCAUUUCAAAGAAAUAUAUCUUUUUGUUCUCUUGGUGACGAGCAGCGGCAAUCAAGUCUGUUGACAAACAACCGAGUUGAAAAGUUUGAAAAUUGGUCACAGCCCACGUCCAUGGUUAAGGAAAAGGUCACUGGAAGUGAUCCCUUCUGGGCCUCUUGAUUUCCAUUCUGACAUCUAUAUGACCUGAUAAAUAGAAAGAAAAAAAAACAGAAGAAAAGCGGCACCCGGGUUCAUAGUAAGCAUCAAGACAGGAUACUGAAAGAAGGGAGAAAGGAGAUUGCAAGUCCAAUCCUGAUAAAAUGAUCAACAAAGAGUAUCAAAAUGGGGCCAACAUAAAGACCCAUUGAGGUUAGCAGAUGGCAUGGCAUUUUUCUCCUUAAGUUUUCCAUGAUUAGACUUGAAGUCAAAAUUUCACAUGUAAAUUUGUAUUUCUACAUUUCCCACUGACGACACCCAACUUCAACUUGAGUUAGAAUAACAUUGUGUGAACUUAUCUGGCCCUCAAAAUUUACUGUGAAGUGCUUUCUGCGUGUGAAGAUUCAGAAAAGCACCAAGGGAACAUGUAUGGUCUGCCUUUUUCUGAUGUUAUGUUUGUCUCUAAUUCUGUUCCAUGUCAUGGUAAAUGUUCACAUUGCUUGUAUGGAACACACCAGGAUCACUUUUUCGGGUUUAUUUUGAGGCUUCAUAUUGGGUUCAUAUUGGGUUCAAUGCUUUUAAUGUGUUCAUUAGACAAAUCUGAAUUAUCAUAUGCAUUUAGAUAAGAACAAUAAUGUGAAACCCUAGUUACACCUCCCCUGCAUAACCCCAACCCUGCUUACUCUAUUUCAGUUUACUCACACAAGUUUUACCGGUUCUUAUAAGUCAAGAAAAGGCAACUGAUGUUGGAUUGACUCUCUUCCAUGUAUAAAAAGCAACUUUUAUAUAUACAUAAAAUAACUUCUUCCCCUCACCAAUGUGGGAUAUCAUGGAUUUAUUCUGGAAACACAUCAAAGGAACAUCUUUUCUCUUGGGUGACCCUAAGUGGUGAGUCAGACCAUUUGCAUGCCAUUGAGUUGCACAGUUGGAUAAAUGCACCUACCUCCUGGGCUCCAGAGUUAAAAGGGUGGAUCCCUGGAUCGCAACCCUCUUGGCAUCUUGGUUUCCAUUCCAACAUCCACAUGACUUGACAAAACAAAAAACAGAAUAAAAUCAUCACUAUUUUCAUGCUAAGCACCAAUACAUGAUGGAAAUCAUUGCUUAAAGAUUUGGGGUCAUUUAGGUUUUGACUGCCUCCUAACACCUCACCUAAUCACAAGUUUUUAUGCUUACAAAUCAAAUAUCGUUCUUCAUUAUAUUAAAAUCAUUUUAAGAUUUCAGAUCCAUCUGCUAAUUAUGAUUAUGAUAACAUUAAUUCACCUGUGCUUCUCAUUUUCGACACACAAGGCAUCUAGGUUUGCAGGAUUUCCUUAUUAGAUGAGAUAAAUGAGUACGCAUGGUUAUGUAUGCAGCAUUCAUUAACCAUGGUAUGUGACAUUUAGAAUUAAGAUAGCAAGCAAACUUUCCCUGCAGCUUGAGUAAAUUGUGAUUUCUUAGCCUCUAUGAGUGGUUCCCAAAUCAAAUUAACAUAGUGAAAUAUACGUAGUCCAGUGAAAGGAAAUGUAAAUUAUAAACUAACAGCACUACACUACUGGUAACACUCGAUACUCUCUAUAUAAUGCAAUGAAAUAUACGUUAUACGUUGCUUGUUCCAAGUCAAAAUUUGUGGCCAAACGUUGGCCUUUUUUCAUUUUCCCUAAGAUUAAUGCUCACCUGGGAUAGGCACUACAUGAUUUAUCUGCUCUUUUACUGUAAAGUUGCUUUGUGUAUGAGUUACACCUCCCCUGCACACCCUCAACAUUUGUUGCUCUGUUUUCCUUGUGUCCAGACGAGGAUAUUAAGUGGGGGCUGACAAAACGACUGCUAGCCAAGGAUUUACAAGGUCCUGGUUUGACGCUUCCGCGAAAGUAUUUUUGAAAAUAUACACAUAGAGAUUGCGCGUUCGGUGCAAUGCAACAAUGUGAGCCAUUCUGAAGUUUUUAAUUUCAGAUUAAUGAAUGCUACAAAAUUCUAAGAAGGGCCGUUUCCAAAUAUUUGAGUUCAUUUAUCCGAACAUCGGAUAAGUAAUGAUCAUAGAUUAUUAUUAUUAUCUGACGUUCUUAUAAUGGUUGGCAUUAUAAGAGGGUAUAUGCUUCUUUCUCUAGCCCCUCCUUCAAGGGAGGGACAAUGUGAUCUGUAUCGUUAGAAGCUAUUCCAUGUCGUCAUCUUUUGGCUUAAGUCAAUACUAAAAUAUAUGGGCGGGGCCCCUGUCAUUUUAUAUUUCUUCUAGAAGGUUUGUUCUGGAAAUCUUUCACCGAAACAUAUCUUUUUCUUCUCUACGUGAUCCGUGGUUGGAAAGUUAGAAAAAUGGGUCCGUUCACAAGCCACCGAGUUGAAAAGUUGGAAAAAUGGCAACACCGCCAACCUCUUGUAUUCGAUAGUUAAAUAAAAGGUCACUGGAAGUGAGAUCCCUUUUGGCCUCUUGAUUUUCAUCCCAGCAUCUCUAUGUCCUGAUAAACUAAAAAACUAAAAAAAAAACAGUACGUGGGUUGGUGUUAAGCAUCAAGAGUCAAGACAUGAUAAUGGAGAGAAAGGAUAUUCAAAUUCCAGUUCUGACAACAUGAUUUUCUUUCCUGAACAACCAUGUUAUAUUUGAUCAAGAAAGAGUAGUGCAUGUGGCCAGGAUCAAGACAUACAUUAAUUUCCACAUGAUGAAGACAGUUUCUGAGAGUUUCUUCUAAAGCUCUUGCGCUAGUAGGCUUCAAGUCAAAAUUUCCCAUGUAAACACUGGAUUUUCUUUAAUUGCCACUAAGGAUACAGUUAAAAUUGACUUAAAAUCCUACGUGAUAUAUAUCUUUAACAAAAGUAUAUUGUAUAUAAUAUUUGAAAUAAUGUUGAUUCGUUGUGGAAAUAUGUUUGUAAGGAAAGUUGUUGACAAUUUAAUAUAGUAUAAGAAGAAAAAAGUUAUCAACUAGAGAUGAGUAUGUAAAGUGAGGCUCACGAUUCAACGCGUAAAUAUAAGAUAUUUUAAGGCUCAAUAGUUAUGAUAUCUAUUUUAUUUUUUGUAUCCCAUAUAUUCAAAGAUACAGUAAAAUGAUUUUAUAUAUAUGAACAUAGCCGAUAGUAUCAUGUUAAAACCUUAUAUGACUCUUUGUGCCAAUUGAUUUUUAUCUUUAUUUUGUGUAUUAGUAAUUAGUAUUAAAGUUUUUACUAACAUAAUAAUUGAUAUAAAAGCUUUUUCCAAAAGAGUCAAACAGAGCAAAACACUUAUUAUAAAAAGAAUUUUGAUUGAAGGUGGAGUCAAUUAUUCUUUAUUCAACAUGUGAUGCAUACAGCGGGUACUUCAUAACUAAAGUAUAUAAGUGCAACAUCUCUUAUACAUUCUCAUUCAAUCUCGAAAGUGGAAAAUUUUAAAAGAUUAAAUGGUUCAAAUUUUCCGUGCAUAAAGGGGAUCAUGUCACAUAACCAAACCAUGGCAUACCAAAGCCAUGAUAUGGACUAAGAAUUUUGUUAAAAUAAGUUUCUUAUUAGGGCACAUUAUGUGACUAUUUAUGACAUAUCAAAGGAGUCAAGUGCAUCAAUAAAGACAUAGAAAAUUCAUGCAUCACAUGUACCACUAAGAGAAAAUUGACUUGAUAGAGUUUAGUCCAAAUAGGAGAUUGUUAAAAGGUGCAUCAAAUUCUUGAUUGAUAUAUAUUUUUUUUAUUAGAAAGGUUAUUAUAUAGAUAUUUCAAUAGACUAUUAAUCCUUUGUAAAAAUAGUUAUAUAAUGAGGAUGGUGAUUAAAAAUAUCUCUAUCAAUAUUUUGGAUUAUAAAAAGAAAAAAAAUAUGAGAAAAUGAUAAACAUAUAAAACUUGUACAAGUAGAUAGAGAUGUGAUGAAAGACACUUGAUGAAUGGAGGCCUUGUAUUUCAAGAUGUAAAUAUAUGGAGCAAAACUCUUAAUUAUAUGAUCAAAUGAUUCUCUCAUAUUCAUGAACAUAAGCAGGAUUGGGGAACCAUGAUAGAAUCUUAUAUGCCUCUCCAUGUAGAUUGAUCGAUGUUUAUCUUCAUAUUUUACACCAAUGAAUGACAUUGAAACUCUGAUUGAUAAAAGGGAAAAAGCAUGGCCUCCACCACAAGAAAAACAAGUAACCUCGGUCUAAAUCACUAGUCUACACCCCGAAGAGAGAACUAGCCAAACCUACUAAAAGAGAAACUUACCAAUUUAGAAAGAAAUCUUCCAUGAUAAAGGGCCCCUAAAAGUCCAAUUCAGUCAGGUUGUGAACAAAAACACCUUCAUGUCAAAACAGGAAUAGGUACCACCAAAAUGUAAAGGGAAAGAUGUAAACCAAGUCGAACUUUGGUAAACAAUGGUAAAGAUAGCAUGAUAGCUAAAAGCACUAAAGCUGUGCUUGGUAUGCAAAAAUGAAAAGUGGAAAUCAGCGUCUUAUUCUUUUUCUCCUUUAUUCACAUAUUAGGAUAACUAAUAUCUAAUGUUUUUUUUAUGUCUCAAAUUCUAUUCCAUGUUAUGGUAAACUUUCAUCUUGUUUAAGUGGAAGAGUAGGAUCACUUUUGUCUGGUUUGGGCUCAAGACGAUAAGCCUAUAGAGACUUCAUAUUGGGUUGAAUUGAUGCCCUUGAUCCGAUCAGUUCGUUAGAAAAAUCUGAAUUAUUAUAAGCAUUUAGAUAAAAUAAAUAAAUAAAUGUGAAACAGAGACUAUUCUCUGCACAACCUUGACCCUAGUUACUCAGUUUCACUGCUCACGGGACUAACCUCUCCAUUCAGUCGAAAUGAAUUGUAAUUUCUUUACUGGUAGCAGUAGUACUUUUCAUAGCAAAGAUAAUAGUAAAUAUGAAAUAUAAAUAUAUAGAAGGAAAUCUGGAUUGUAGAUAGCACCAUAAGUAACACUCAAUAUUUACUACAUAAUAAAAGAGAUAGUGUUACAAAGGUAGAGAAACCUACAAUGAGUACUCAUCACCAUUCUCAAACAGAAACAUAGCAGUGACUUAUACAUAGAACCUAUAGGCUCGCAGGGAAAGAGUAACAUGAUAAGUGCACAGCGGGUAGCAGCUCUUAUUUUACGUAUUACUCAAAAUCUCAAACUAACCAAAGUCACUCAGUUGGGAUGGGUAGGAGAUGGUGGUUUGUGGGGUGGCUUCUGGGUAGGAGCUGGUGGCUUCUUUGUUGGAGUUGAAGGAGGCGUAAUCUUCUGAGGUGGCUUGUAUGAGUCUUUGGCACUCUCUGCAGGAGGGUGCCCAGGGUUGUGACCGGAAGGAGGUGGCUUCUGUCCCUUUGGUGGUUUGCCUAAUGGGCUUGGUGGCUUGUGCUCCGGGAGUUGUUUCUCUCCCUCGAGUAGGUUUCGAGUUUUGUCAGAUGGCUUGUGUUCUGGUGGUGGCUUCUCUCCCUGGGGUGGUUUGCCGAAUGGGCUUGGUGGCUUGUGUUCGGGGAGUGGCUUCUCUCCCUUGGCAGGUUCAGUUGGUGGCUGGUGCUCCGUAGGUGGUUUCUUCACCGCCGGCUUCUCUCCCUGGAGAAGGUUACGAGUUUUGUCAGAUGGCUUCUGUUCUGGUGGCGGCUUCUCUCCCUGGGGUGGUUUGCCAAAUGGGCUUGGUGGCUUGUGUUCGGGAACUGGCUUCUCUCCCUUGGCAGGUUCAGUUAGUGGCUGGUGUUCCGUAGGUGGUUUCUUCACCGGCGGCUUGUGCUCCGGAAGCGGCUUCUCUACCUGGAGAAGCUUACGAGUUUUGUCAGAUGGCUUGUGUUGUGGUGGUGGCUUCUCUCCCUGGGGUGGUUUGCCAAAUGGACUUGGUGGCUUGUGUUCGGGGAGUGGCUUCUCUCCAUUGGGAGGUUUAGUUGGUGGUUGGUGUUCCGUAGGUGGUUUCUGAAGUGGGGGAUGCUUGGGGUAGUCAGCAAGAGACGAGGUAGUGAGAACCACCAGUCCCAGCAGCAAUACUAGCAAG
rnacentral:lncRNA from 1 species